rnacentral:rRNA from 1 species
CAGCAGCCACGGUAAUGCGAAGGGUGCAAGCGUUAAUCGGAAUUACUGGGCGUAAAGCGUGCGUAGGCGGUGAGUUAAGUCUGCUGUGAAAUCCCCGGGCUCAACCUGGGAAUGGCAGUGGAUACUGGCUCGCUAGAGUGUGUCAGAGGAUGGUGGAAUUCCCGGUGUAGCGGUGAAAUGCGUAGAGAUCGGGAGGAACAUCAGUGGCGAAGGCGGCCAUCUGGGACAACACUGACGCUGAGGCACGAAAGCGUGGGGAGCAAACAGGAUUAGAUACCCCAGUAGUCCCUGUCUCUUAUAC